rnacentral:rRNA from 1 species
UACCAGCACCCCGAGUGGUCGGGACGAUUAUUGGGCCUAAAGCAUCCGUAGCCGGUCCUGCAAGUCUUCCGUUAAAUCCAGCUGCUCAACAGAUGGGCUGCGGGAGAUACUACAGGGCUAGGAGGCGGGAGAGGCAAGCGGUACUUUAUGGGUAGGGGUUAAAAUCCGGCUGAGUCCAAUAGAAGACCACCAGUGGCGAAGGCGGCUUGCCAGAACGCGCUCGACGGUGAGGGAUGAAAGCUGGGGGAGCAAACCGGG